GGGGAUAUUGGACAAUGGGGGGAACCCUGAUCCAGCGACGCCGCGUGAGUGAAGAAGUAUCUCGGUAUGUAAAGCCCUAUCAGCAGGGAAGAAAGAAAUGACGGUACCUGAGUAAGGAGCCCCGGCUAACUACGUGCCAGCAGCCGCGGUAAUACGUAGGGGGCAAGCGUUAUCCGGAUUUACUGGGUGUAAAGGGAGCGUAGACGGUCCUGCAAGCCAGAUGUGAAAGCCCGGGGCUCAACCCCGGGGCUGCAUUUGGAACUGUAAGGCUAGAGUGUCGGAGAGGCAGGCGGAAUUCCUAGUGUAGCGGUGAAAUGCGUAGAUAUUAGGAGGAACACCAGUGGCGAAGGCGGCCUGCUGGACGAUGACUGACGUUGAGGCUCGAAAGCGUGGGGAGCAAACA
rnacentral:rRNA from 1 species